UAAUGACAGGAUCAAAUUCACACAUAACACUAUUAACUUUAAAUGUAAAUGGACUAAAUGCUCCAAUUAAAAGACACAGACUGGCAAAUUGGAUAAAGAGUCAAGACCCAUCAGUGUGCUGUAUUCAGGAAACCCAUCUCACAUGCAGAGACACACAUAGGCUCAAAAUAAAAGGAUGGAGGAAGACCUACCAAGCAAACGGAAAACAAAA
rnacentral:lncRNA from 1 species